GGAAAAAAAGUGAAGGGUUGAGGCAGAGGUGGGGCACCCUUCUCUCUGGUCUUCCAUGGAGUUCGUUGCAAGCUCUGUGAAUGCUUCUAUUUCUCUUCUGUGAAUCCUUUUAUGUUCUCAUCACUGUCACCACUUUUUCUAACCCAUUUUCCUUUUCCAUCCCCACAUUCUGUUUGGUUCACAAGAAUUAUAAAAAAAAAUAAAAUUGAAAGCUACCCUUUAUUUAUUUGUCUCUGUAAUAAACCAAUUUAGGUAUAGAUUUUGAUUUGCGUAAUGAGUAUGCACUGAAUUGAAUUUUUUACUAUUUCCAGAUGUCACAGUGGAAGUGUUUUUCGUUAAGGGUAAUAGAAUCUCGGUUUCCAUUGGCACAUAGAAGGAAGAAAGGUGUUGGUUCUAGAAAUAGGGAUUCUUGGAAAGAAUAUUCAAUUGGGUUGGUGCCACGAAUAAGCAGCAUCUCUUAUCCUCAUUGUGGUUAUUUUCCAUCAAGUGGGGGUUUCAUUGCAAAAAGGAGGAAACGUAACAGUCUUCUGAGACUGAAUGAUUGUUCAGACAACAUAAGACAACAUGCUUCUAUUUUGUUUGUGCGGCUGGUUAGUGGAGUAAUGUUGGUCAUGUCUGUUUCUUUGGCUUCUACUGAGCCAUCCUGUGAGUGACUCUGAGAAUCUUCUCUUUCUGGAGGCAUGGAGAACAAUUGACCGAGCGUAUAUUGAUAAAAGUUUUAAUGGGCAGAGUUGGUUUAGGUAUAGAGAAGAUGCACUCCGCAAUGAACCAAUGAACAAUCGAGAAGAGACAUGUAUAGCUUGAAUUCUCAACCUUUUUCUUAAUUUCUUUUUCAACUUGCUGCACAAAGACAACAUGCUAAGAGGAUAAGGUGAUAAGAAAGAUGCUUGCCACAUUGGAUGAUCCAUUCACUAGAUUUUUGGAGCCUGAAAAGUUCAGAAGUUUGAGGGCAGUCUGGAACUGAAGGCGCUCUAACUGGAGUGGGGUUAUCAAUAGGCUACCCUACCAAAGCUGAAAUGCAACCUGGUGGGCUUGUUGUCAUUUCAGCUUCUCCAGGAGGUCCUGCAUACAGAGUUGGUGUUUUGUCUGGAGAUGUUAUCCUGGCUAUUGAUUGUACAAGCACAGAAAACAUGGGGCUGUAUGAUGCAGCUGAACGCCUACAGUGGGUUUUUUCUCCUGCAUUCCACUUGUGCUUUCAAGAGAGAGAAAGUUUCAUUGGAUCCAGUGAAAUCAAGAUUGUGCAAGCUACCUGCUUCAGGAAAUGAUUCCCCAACGGUUGGUUAUAUCAAACUAACAUCUUUCAACCAAAAGGCAUCUAGUAACUUUAGAGAGCCAACAUUUGGAAAAGAGUAAGUUACUUUUGUUUCAGUUAAAACCAACAAAAUGAAAUUUACGUUGUUUUCCUAAUAUGAGCUAUACACAUGCUGGAAGAUCCAAUCAGUUUUUGAGCUCUCAGAUGGCUCCGGAAUAGUUGUUACAGUUGCUCGCUAUGAGACAGCUGCACAUACAGAUAUUGACAAGGUUGGUGUCAUUCCCGACCAUCCUCUACCAACACCAUUUCCCAAGGAUGAGGAUGCAUUUUGCAAUUGCCUCCAGGAUCCAGCAUCUUCUUGCUAUGUCAAUAGGAUCAAGCUAUUUUCAAAAUGAUGAUUUUUUGGGGG